GGAAUGGUAUUUUGACCGUGCUAAGGUAGCAUAAUCAAUUGUUUUUUAAUUGAAAACUAGUAUGAACGGUUUAAUUUACUUAAUUAGUUUGUAAUUUUUAAUAGUAAGUUAAAUAUAAAGUAAGAAUUCUUUAAUAAAUUAGGGGACGAUAAGACCCUAAAAGCUUUAUGAUUGGCAUUUAAUUAGUGAUAGCGGUGUUAUUAAUUCACUGGGGCAGUGAGUUUAGGUAUAUUUAAGUAUAAUUAAAAGCUCCUUUAAAUAAAGAUUUCAUGUAUAAGUUACUUUAGGGAUAACAGUGCAAUAUAUU
rnacentral:rRNA from 1 species